GACGAACGCUGGCGGCGUGCUUAACACAUGCAAGUCGAACGGAAAGGCCCUGCUUUUGUGGGGUGCUCGAGUGGCGAACGGGUGAGUAACACGUGAGUAACCUGCCCUUGACUUUGGGAUAACUUCAGGAAACUGGGGCUAAUACCGGAUAGGAGCUCCUGCUGCAUGGUGGGGGUUGGAAAGUUUCGGCGGUUGGGGAUGGACUCGCGGCUUAUCAACUUGUUGGUGGGGUAGUGGCUUACCAAGGCUUUGACGGGUAGCCGGCCUGAGAGGGUGACCGGCCACAUUGGGACUGAGAUACGGCCCAGACUCCUACGGGAGGCAGCAGUGGGGAAUAUUGCACAAUGGGCGGAAGCCUGAUGCAGCAACGCCGCGUGCGGGAUGACGGCCUUCGGGCUGUAAACCGCUUUCGCCUGUGACGAAGCGUGAGUGACGGUAAUGGGUAAAGAAGCACCGGCUAACUACGU
rnacentral:rRNA from 1 species